UACGAAGGGGGCUAGCGUUGCUCGGAAUCACUGGGCGUAAAGCGCACGUAGGCGGGUUUUUAAGUCAGGGGUGAAAUCCUGGAGCUCAACUCCAGAACUGCCUUUGAUACUGAAGAUCUUGAGUCCGGGAGAGGUGAGUGGAACUGCGAGUGUAGAGGUGAAAUUCGUAGAUAUUCGCAAGAACACCAGUGGCGAAGGCGGCUCACUGGCCCGGUACUGACGCUGAGGCACGAAAGCGUGGGGAGCAAACAGG
rnacentral:rRNA from 1 species